CAUUGACAGCCAGCCAGACGGACGGACAUAGCUUAAUCGACUCAAAAAACGAUUCUAAGCCGAUUGGUAUACUUUAAGGUGGAGUACGUUCAAACUUAUGCGGAAUUUAAACAGAAUUUCAAAUGUAGUGAGCGUUGGUGUUGGAGACAAAGUAAAAAGGAGCAAAUAAAAGAUAUACUUGGUCAAAAGUAAGGCAAUAAUUGGUGGAACAUUAGAAAAAUAUAAUGUCAGAUAGCGGCAGUGGCGAAGAAGGACUUUCAGGAUCAAGUAUGAAUU